rnacentral:lncRNA from 1 species
AAUCCUGAAUGUUCUUCCUCACAUCCCGCUCGGACUAACUCCACGGACAAGUUUAUCCCCUGUUCCCAGGCGCUCCCAGCUGAAUCUAGCAUCCUCAUCCUCUCCUCAUCUACGGAUUCACCCCAGAUCCCAGCCUAUCCACUACUUCCGAACCAGCCAGUGUUCCGGAUUAAUCCCAGCAUCCGCGAUUCAAGGAUCAUCUCCCAACUCAUCUUCCCACGCGUCUGGUUCAUCUCCCCUGCUUCACGUCCCACAACCUUCCCAUGCUUUGGAACAGAUCUGAGAUCUUCUCCGCAUCCUCCCCUGCUCAUUCCAGCGUUCCGGAUCACUUUCUCCCAGCAGAACAAAGUCA